AUUGCCUGGCUGACACGAUGGAGCCAGGAGAACCACAUACUCCUUCGAGUGCCGGGGAAGACAAAGAGAAUGGAUUUUGGAGGACUGUCCGAAGUUUCUGCUGUGAGACAUGAGCUGGGAAAGAGGUGUACUUGAAGCACAAGAUUGCAGACUGCUUCGAAGUUAUUGCAGUGUAUUCAGAUGAGAAGAAAAAAGGUAUAAAAGAGGAUGGUGACCAUUGUCACAUAUAUACAAAAGGAGUCUUCUACCAAGGAAAUGGAAUUCAAAGCAUCAGCAGG